rnacentral:sRNA from 1 species
GCUGGGCACAGUGGCGCAUGCCUGUAAUCUCAGCAGCUCGGGAGGCAGAGGUAGGAGGAUGGCAAGUUCAAAGCCAGUCUCAACAACCUAGCCAGGCACUAAGCAACUCAGUGAGACCCUGUCUCUA